rnacentral:sRNA from 1 species
AAGGUCUUGUUAAAAUGGUUCUAAUUAGAUGAAAUGAUAUGCCCUCUGACAUGCUUUUAAAAAAAGCUUAUGGCAUAGUCUGUUAUGAGAAAUAAUGACUUAAACUCUUACCUGAGUUUUAAAUAUUUCUAUUACAAGCUGGUCAUUUUUUUUCAAUGACUCUUUAGAAAAUGUCUAUAGAUUAAAAGAAAUUAUUCAUACUUUUGGAAUUGUCAUUUUGCUUUUGAAUUUUCACCAGAAUUUCUGCUGUGAAUUUAAUUAGGUCUGUCAUCCCUCGGUAACAUCUGAUGAGGUUGUGACUGGUUGUUAUAGAAGUAAAAUAAAAACUUUACUGC